AUGAAAAUGUAAACAACAAAGAUCGGGCCCCGGUUCCGGACCCAGCGUACCCGCCCUACCAUGAGACGAUCACCUCCACUCGUCUCCCUCAUUUUGGCCACUAAAUGGCCUAUAUUAGCCCGUGUCGGCCAUAAUGCCUACUCUCCCCAACAAUAUUAUUUUAGCCGGACAUGAUUUCUUUCAAUAGCUGUUUAGGAUCUCAUGCAAGCGGAUAAUUCAUUAACUUCACAGGCGACGAAAUACUACAAGGAUAUUGCUAGUCGCCGCAAAAGAAACGCGCACGGAGGCACUUUAGAGGCAAUCGUUGCGCCGAUUUAGGAACAAUGGCCCACACAAUUACUUAAAACUGGAGCUCUCUGGGGGUGGUAAGGGGCGAUAUAAAUGCGUAAAUUCAAAUUGGGCGCAGAUGCAUCACCUUUGGAGUUCCCCUCACCGUUCGCACUCUAGAGUGAAGCUCGGCGUAAGUGCCUACGGAGUGCAAUUAGGAGUCUUCUUCUGACUCUGCCAGGGGCUCGAACGAGGAUGGGCAAAAACAUGGAACGGACUCACUCGGUGGAUGUGGGCGGGGUCUCGCCUGUGGC